UCCCUAUGUCUUUAGUUGGCUAGUUUCUAUUAUGUUAUUUUGAAUUUAACAACUUACUCUCUGAUAAUCAAAAUGGAUUUUGAUCCUUUUAAUCUACUGUUGUUUAGAAACUGUAGUCGCAGAAAAGGUUUAAUGCUAGUGGAUAGAGUUGGUGAGGCAUGGACUAUUGCAAUAGAGUAUUUAUAAGAAUGGUCAAUGUGGAGUGAUUGUUCCGCAACAUGUGGAGAAGGCAAUAAAACUAGUUAUGAAUUAAAAGCAACUGUUGCUAAAACAAGAGUGGAAUAUUGCAAUUUAUUUAAUUGCCCUGUGGAUGGAAUGUGGAGUAUUUGGUCCAACUCUGGGUGUUCAACAACUUGUGGUGAUGGAGUGAUAGUAUACAGUAGAGUUUGUGACAAUCCUAUUCCUGCAUAUUACGGUGAUGAUUGCAUGGGUAUCAGCAAUUAUACUGAAGAUUGUGAAAAUAAUAUAAAUUGUCUAGGCGUCAAUUUUUAUUAUUUAUACAUAUAGUAUUUAUAUAUAUAGUAUACAUAUAGUAUUUAUAUAUAUAGUAUACAUAUUACAUAUUUAUAUAUAUAGUAUACAGUAGAGUUUGUGACAAUCCUAUUCCUGCAUAUUACGGUGAUGAUUGCAUGGGUAUCAGCAAUUAUACUGAAGAUUGUGAAAAUAAUAUAAUUUGUCUAGUAAAUGGUGGUUGGUCAAGUUGGUCUUCUUGGUCAUUUUGUAAUCAACCAUGUGAAGUUGGUUUAAUGUCCAGAUUUCGAAACUGUUCUAGGCCCACCUCACAAUAUGGUGGUCUUUAUUGCAAUGGAAACAGUAUGUAAACUGUUAACUGUUCGUGGAAAUCUUGUAAAAAAGUAGACCUCAAUUUAGAAGUUUAUUUUGUGGAUGAAGAAUAUAAUGAUGGCUAUGUCCGUUUAACAAGUGAUCCUACUUUUGAGCUUAAAGAAAGAAUUAUAAAAGCAAAUUGGCGUUCCUUAACCUUACUUACCAUCAUUAGCUUUCUAUAAAUUUCGGAUGAACUAUUUGUGAUCAGGAUUUAAAAAAUAGCAGAAAACAAUGGAUAAUUAUACUUGUAAAAUAACAAAAAUUUUAUUUAUAUUACUUUAUA
rnacentral:misc_RNA from 1 species